GGGGGGGGGGGGGGGGGGGGGGGGGGGGAGGCGGGGGGAGGGGGGAGGCGCUGCGGGGGGGGGGGGGUGGGGUGGCGAACGGGGGAGGAGCACGUGAGUAACCGGCCCGUGCGUGUGGGAUAACGUCAGGAGACUGGGGCUAAUACCGGAGAGGCGCUCCGGCUGCCGGGUGGGGGUUGGAAGGGUUCGGCGGUUGGGGAGGGACUCCCGGCUUAUCAGCUUGUUGGUGGGGUGGUGGCUUACCAAGGCUUUGACGGGUAGCCGGCCUGAGAGGGUGACCGGCCACAUUGGGACUGCGAUACGGCCCAGACUCCUACGGGAGGCAGCAGUGGGGAAUAUUGCACAAUGGGCGGAAGCCUGAUGCAGCAACGCCGCGUGCGGGAUGACGGCCUUCGGGUUGUAAACCGCUUUCGCCUGUGACGAAGCGUGAGUGACGGUAAUGGGUAAAGAAGCACCGGCUAACUACGUG
rnacentral:rRNA from 1 species